rnacentral:rRNA from 1 species
GAUGAACGCUGGCGGCGUGCCUAAUACAUGCAAGUCGAGCGAAGCGGGGACGGGUGAGUAACAAGUGGAUAACUUCCUAUAAGACUGGGCUACCAUCGGGAAAGCGAGGCUAAACCGGAUACUUAUAGAUGGGUCUGAGUUUCAAUAGCUAGUUGUGAAGUUAAUGGCUUACAAAGGCAACGAUGCAUAGCUGACCUGAGAGGAGGAUCGGCCACACUGGAACUGAGACACGGUCCAGACUCCUACGGGAGGCAGCAGUAGGGAAUCUUGCGCAAUGGGCGAAAGCCUGACGGAGCCACGCCGCGUGAGUGAUGAAGGUCUUAGGAUCGUAAAGUUCUGUUAUUCGGGAAGCGGUACCGAAACAGAAAGCCACGGCUAACUACGUGCCAGCAGCCGCGGUAAUAC